UAUUGUACAUAUUUCAGCUAGGAAACUUCUUUACGGCUUUUAUGGUGUUCAUAUUCCCACCAAUGAUUGAAAUAUUUAUUACGUGGAAAAAUCCUAAGAAAUGGUAUUUAAGGUGGUCACUAUUGAAGAACAUCAGUCUGAUCAGUUUGGGAGUAGCUUUAUGCGCAGGUGGUUUUAUUCAUAUAGUAUAACAAAAUACAUUUCAAUGUAAAUAAAAAUAUUUUAAGAAUAAAUUAUAAAUUUAAUAAUAA